UGCUUCCACAUAUAUCAAGAGAUUCCCUUUCACUUGCAAGUUCUGGGAUACAUGUGCAGAAUGUGCGGUUUGUUACAACCCUGAUUUCAUUUGUCCAUCUCCUGAUGAAGAUGAGUUUCGAGAGGAGACUCACUAUUCUAAGCUAACCAUU